AUUAAAUAUGUGUUAAAUAUUAAAACUGUUGUAAAGAAGAUGUGAACGAAAUUUUGGUACAUACAGGGUGAUUAUUAUUUUUUAUUAAAUUUUAAUAUAACAUUAUUAAUUGCCUUUCUAGAUAUUCUUAAAGAUAUUCUUAAAAGUGUUUAUGUCUCCUUCCUUUCCAUUCAAUUCCUUCUAUUACCAAUCUUUUCCAGUGUCUCCAUUCUGACUUUGUCCAGUUUCAUAAUCAGUUUAUGAUUGCAUAACUUAUAUUACCUGAUAAUCCGAAUUCAGGGACUGCUUCAUAUAUUUAUGUUGAAAUAUUUAAGUAUUUAUUUUUUAUUUAACUGUUUCAUAUAGAACCGUUCGUCAUUACGGAAGAUAAAACAUAAAGAAUACUUGACCCAUUUUGAGAAAUACAAGAAAGUGGAAUCAACCUCUUCACAAUAUACUAAUAUAAUGGAUACAUAAAACUUAACUCUAAGGAUGUAGAUCACUCUGUGUUGGAUGGUGGUGGUUUCCGGUUCGGUCUGCAUCUGCAUAUCGCCGUGGUUAUUGUUGUAAUUAUUGGAGGUUGCUGGAGGACGCUAAGGAAAAGGGUAGUCACCGAACGUGCAACAUUUUGAGUUCGAUACGCGUUUCGAACUGACCUCGCGGGCAGACCAACACGCGAAACUAGAAACGCGCAGGUCCUGCCGAAAAUUUCGGUAUUGAUUUGCCGCAGUACAGUACUCAAAAUAAGAUACAUUCAGAAACGAUUUAUCUUUAUCAAUAUCAAAAUCAUUGACAACAACAAAAAAAUAAACGUCAAAUAUUUUUUUUUAAUAAAACGUCAAUUAUUUUGACGUUUAUGAUAUCGUUUAUGAUAUGUAGCGGUUUAUAUUUUUUGUAUAUUUCGUGGGGGUUGAUCUAAAUGCAUAUGAAUGAACAAGAUCGAGUGUCUCCCGCUUUUGCUGAUAGCAAAAACCGUCCAAAACGCCGUUGAAACCUUCUUGGAAUUGAACGGCGCGUUCGUACUUGCGAGCGUCGCCGCAAUUUACGCCGUUUACGCCGUCGCUCGUGUCGUUUACUCAAAAAGGCGGCAAUUUCAAAAUUUCAUCGAUAUGAUCUGGUUUCUCGAAGCAACGUCAAAAAUCGACCGUAAAGACUGUCAAGGCUGCAUGAUAAAGGUAUUUACAAAAAAAGAGUGAUUAAAUAAGGGAUUUCUUAGAUAUAAAAAGGAUACUUUUUGAUUUUGAUCUAUGUUUCCGGCUUCUAUCCAUUUCCGGGGUAGGAUGUAAACAAUAAAGUUUAAAAACAACUAAAAUAA